rnacentral:rRNA from 1 species
CCUAACACAUGCAAGUCGAACGGUAACAGGAAGAAGCUUGCUUCUUUGCUGACGAGUGGCGGACGGGUGAGUAAUGUCUGGGAAACUGCCUGAUGGAGGGGGAUAACUACUGGAAACGGUAGCUAAUACCGCAUAACGUCGCAAGACCAAAGAGGGGGACCCUCGGGCCUCUUGCCAUCGGAUGUGCCCAGAUGGGAUUAGCUUGUUGGUGGGGUAACGGCUCACCAAGGCGACGAUCCCUAGCUGGUCUGAGAGGAUGACCAGCCACACUGGAACUGAGACACGGUCCAGACUCCUACGGGAGGCAGCAGUGGGGAAUAUUGCACAAUGGGCGCAAGCCUGAUGCAGCCAUGCCGCGUGUAUGAAGAAGGCCUUCGGGUUGUAAAGUACUUUCAGCGGGGAGGAAG